rnacentral:lncRNA from 1 species
CAAACAAUACAGAAAUGAUCCACCAGGGGAGUUACCACCUCUGAGUCAACUAGGAGGCGGUGCUGGAAUCAAGAAGCUGCUGCUACCUCUAAUCAACAUUUCCACAACUUUACUUGCCAGCAAAAACGGCUAAAAAAGGAAGCAGUUUCUGCCCUUCACAUCUCAUGCUGAAUGCAUUAACUUGGUGGAAGACAAUUUGCCUCUGGAAACAUGAAUGCAAAGGAGUCUGGUAAAUAUUGUGCUCAACUUUCAACCUCCCCACCUAGAGGAAAGCUGGAACAGAGACUGGAACCUACACAACAGCCUACUUUCAUUGCCCUUUCCACCAUGUUCGUUCCCUUAAGCCUCCCAGCAGCCCUNUCAGGGGUAACAGACUGGUCUGCAUCCCUCCCAUUAGCACCAUCAUCUCCAUCACCGAGUUCACCAAGUGUUUCACAUCUGUGCUCUCACUCCAUCCUUGCAACAGCCCUCUGAGGACUGUUCUGCUGUUGGGAUCAUAGGUACUGAAAUCCCUGGCUUUUCUUUGGGUCUUGAAGUUGGUAUUUUUUAAGUAUAAGAGUAAAGAUAGGAUCAGAAAAGAAAAAUUGGAUAACCUGAUAGAGAAAGACUCUUUAAAAUCAGUUUGUUCUUGAGGGUCAUUUUGCUGAGAUUAUCUUUUUGGCACUUCUGUUAGUUUUUUGCUACUGAGAGAGUAGUGCUCACAAAAGAAAAGAAGAAAGAG